AUACGGAGGAUCCGAGCGUUAUCCGGAUUUAUUAGGUUUAAAGGGUGCGCAGGCGGAACUGUAAGUCACCGGUGAAAUCCUACAGCUUAACUGUAGAACUGCCGGUGAUACUGCGAUUCUAGAGUAUAGUUGAGGUAGGCGGAAUGUGUAGUGUAGCGGUGAAAUGCAUAGAUAUUACACAGAACACCGAUUGCGAAGGCAGCUUACUAAACUAUUACUGACGCUCAUGCACGAAAGCGUGGGGAGCGAACAGGAUUAGAUACCCUAGUAGUCC
rnacentral:rRNA from 1 species